AUGGAUCCCGGCCACGUCCAGCCUGGGCCCCCGCCGCCGGCAAUGGAUCUCGACGACGUCCAGCCUGGGCCCCCGCAGCGAUGGGAGUACAGCCUGCGGAAGCCGCCCACGACGGCCAACCCGCGGGCGACCCCAUCAUCCGCUACACCUACUACCACCCUCGCCUUCUUCUACUGCAACGCCACCGCCUUCGCGGCGUCGCUCGUGGUCAUCGUCCUCAUCCUCAUCCUCGCCAUCCAGCACGACAAGGACGAGAAGGAUACCCUCUGGGUCGUCGUGCCCCUGCGGGUCUUCAUGAUGCUGGACCUCCUCAGCCUCAUGGGCGCGUACGGCGCCGGCACCUGCCAGGACAAGCUCUCCACCAUCUACUACGCGGUGAUGGUGGCCGGCGUCUUACUCUGCGUCGCCGUUCUCAAGUUGGUGGACAGGUGCUACAAGAACUCUGGCCUCAGCCCCGGCUCCGGCAGCAUGAUGACCGUCCCCAACAGCAGCAACAGCUCCGGUGGCGCGAACUUGACCAUCAAUCCCCACUCCAGCCCCGGCUCUGGCGGCAUGACCCUCCCCAACCACAGCAACGGCUCCGACACCGGCGGCGCGAUGCCGACCGCCAAUCUUGACUCCGGUGCCAGCGGGAUUGUCGCCUCACACUCUGACCCCGAGGUGGAGGCCCAGGAGAAGAAAGCCGAAGAAAGGCUCUGCAAGGUCCUGAUGCUCCUCGCGAUUUUCGCCGUGAGCAUCACGUACGUCGCCGGGCUGAACACCCCGGGUGGCUUCUGGGACAGCACCGGGGAAAGCCACCACCUGGGCGACGCGAUUCUGAAGGACCACCACAACAUACGCCUGACGGUGUUCUUAUUCUGCAACACCAUGGCGUUCGUGGCGUCCCUGUUCAUCACCAUGCUCCUCAUCAUCGACGGCAAGAAUCUCCACAAGAAGAAGGCUCGGUCUCGCAUGCUCUACGGGUGCAUCGUCGCCGCGCUGGUCGGGCUUGUUGGCGCCUACGCCGCAGGCAGCUGCAGGGAGACCGACACCACCGUCUACGUGCUCUCCCUGGUUGGCGCCGUUCUGGCAUACAUCCUCCUCCAUCGCUUCUGCAGUUCAGCACCAAAAUUAUUUUGUUGUUGUUUCAGUCCAGCCCAACAACCUGAUGAAAAUGAGGACACUGAUGAGAGUGCUAGGGAGGCUUUGGACAAGGCUCGCUCUCUUGUUCUACUGCUGGCCACUCUUGCUGCCGCCAUCACCUACGCAGCGGGGUUGGACCCGCCGGGUGGCCUUUGGCAGGAUAACAGCAAUGGCCACAUGGCUGGUGAUCCGAUUCUCCUCACAACAAACAUUGCAAGGUACAGAGCCUUCUACUACUGCAACUCGGUUGCGUUUGUAGCCUCCUUGGUGGCCAUCGUCCUGGUCCAGAAGGAGAAGCUUGUCAAGCACCACGCGUUGGAGGCAGCCAUGAUACUCGUCCUGUUUGGCCUCAUCGGCGCGUAUGCUGCUGGGAGCUGUCGGGACGUGAACAAAUCCAUUUACGCCAUGGCUUUAGCAGGCGCUGUCCUGAUCUAUGUCGUGAUCCAUAUUGUCUUCUUCACUCUGGACCACAAGGAUAAGAAAGACGAUGCUAAAGAAGAUCUGUUGCUGGAGAAGAGGCGCAAACGGUUGCUCCUCUUCGCAAUCUUGGCAGCGACCAUCACCUACCAAGCCGGCCUCACCCCUCCCGGCGGCUUCCUGCUGCAGGACGACAAGCUUGGACGGCACCACGCCGGCGACCCGGUCCUCUUGGACAACUACCCACGCCGCUACAAUGCCUUCUUCUACUGCAACUCAAUAAGCUUCAUGUUGUCCAUUGCUCAUCAUCCUCCUGGUGAACCCCAAUCUGGCAGCGACAGCGGGUACGAGGCAGGCAAUCCGGUGAUGCACGACAACAGGAGGCCCCGGUACCUCAUCUUCUUCUACAGCAACUCCACCUCCUUUAUGGCUUCCAUCGUCGUCAUCAUCAUGUUGCUACCGCAAUGGCUGCGAAAGGAGCAGCAAGGGGAAUGGGAGAAAUGGUCGCUGAGGGUGAUGAACAGGACGAUCAGACUGGAUUUAUUUGCUCUCCUAGGGGCCUAUGCAGCCGGGUCCAACAGGGGGUGGAAGACGUCCAUGUAUGUCGUCGCGCUCAUCAUUGCCGUGCUGGGCUACUUUUUAAUCCACAUGAAGCUUUCAACAUGUCUUGAACGUCGCCGUAAGAAGCGCGAUGCCGAAGCAGCCAUGGGAAUCAUACUGUUGAGUGAGAGAAUGGAGUGUGAUGUCCCUGCCGUGGAGCUGCAGCCGGCACUCCCCGCAGUGCCAAUGGAUCAGCCAGGCCAGCCAGAGGCAGCAUCUCUGCACCCGGCAAUGGCGCAGGUGCAGCCGGCAAAGCCGCCCGUGCAGCCAUGGGAGUACAGCCUGCGGAAGUACCUCCUGCUGCUGGCCACCUUGGUGGUGACCGUCACUUACACGGAGGGGUUCAACCCGCCGGGAGGCGUCUGGCAGGCCGCCCACGAUGGCCAACCUGCCGGCGACCCCAUCAUCCGCUACACCCACUACCACCGCUACCUCGCCUUCCUCUACUGCAACGCCGCCGCCUUCGCCGCGUCGCUCGUGGUCAUCGUCCUCAUCCUCAUCCUCGCCAUCCGGCACGACAAGAAGGGGAAGGACAGCCAAUGGGUUGUCGUGCCCCUGCGGCUAGUCAUGGUGCUGGACCUGCUCAGCCUCAUGGGUGCGUACGGCGCCGUACCUGCCGCGACAAGAUUUCAAUCUUCUACUUCGCGUGCCGGCAUGAUUCCUGCCCCCGUCGCCAGCUCCGUAGACGGGAUGCCCGUCAACACGGGCUCCGACUCCGGUGGCACGACGCCCAUUCCCAAUCCUGACUCCGGCACCGGCACGAGUCACGGCCCCGUCGCCAGCUGUGACGGCGGGAUGCCCGUCUCCAACGACAACACCGGCUCCGGCGACAUGAUGCCCACUCCAAAUCCCGACUCCAGUACCGACAUGGUUCCCACCCCCAUCCUCGGCUCUGACCCGACCACUGUCGAAGAAUGGUUCCGCGACCGCAAGGCCCUGAAGAAGCUGAAAGCCGAAGAACGGCUCCGCAAGGUCCUGAUGCUUCUGGCUACAUUCGCGGUGAGCAUCACAUACGUCGCCGGGCUGAGCACGCCGGGCGGCUUCUGGGACAGCACCGGGGGCAGCCACCGCCCAGGCGACGCCAUCCUCAAGGACCAGCACAGCCCACGCCUGACGGUGUUCUUGCUCUGCAACACCACGGCGUUCGUGGCAUCCCUGCUCAUCACCAUGCUGCUCAUCAUCGACGGCAAGAAGCUCCGCAAGAAGAAGACGGCUCGGUCUCGCGUGCUCUGCGGGUGCAUCGUGGUCGCCCUGGUCGGCCUCGUCGGCGCAUACAUCGCCGGCAGCUGCAGGGAGAUCGAUACCACCGCCUACGUGGCCAGCUUGGUCGGCGCCGUUCUGGCAAUAGCACACAUCAUCCUACUCUAUGGUAUCUACGCUUCAACGCAACAGACUGAAGAAAUUCAGCAGACUGAUGAUAAUGUCAAUACAAUACAGUGCAGUGGCAAGGAGGUUCUGGACAAGGCUGGCUCUCUUGUUCUACUGCUUGCCACUCUUGCCGCCGCCAUCACCUACACAGCGGGGUUGAAGCCACCGGGAGGGCUUUGGCAGGACAACACCAACGGGCACAUGGCCGGUGACCCCAUCCUUCUCACAACCAAUGCUAGCCGAUACAAGGCCUUCUUCUACUGCAACUCGGUUGCCUUUGUGGCCUCCUUGGUGGCCAUUGUCCUAGUCCAGAUGGAAAUUCUGGUUAAGCACCACGUGCUGGAGGCAGCCAUGAUACUCGACCUGUUUGGCCUCAUCGGUGCAUAUGCUGCCGGGAGCUGCCGGGACGUGAACAACUCUAUUUACGUCAUGGCUUUGGCAGGCCUCGUCCUGGUCUAUGUGGUGAUCCAUGUUAUCUUCUUCACGCUGGACCACGAGGACAAAAACCACGACAACCAGGCAAAUCAGUUGCUGGAGAAGAGGCGCAAACGGUUGCUCCUCUUCGCGAUCUUGGCUGCGACCAUUACCUACCAAGCCGGCCUCACCCCUCCUGGUGGCUUCCUGCUCCAGGAUGACAACCUCGGACACCAGGCUGGCGACCCGGUCCUCUUGUACAACUUCUCACGUCGCUACAAGGCAUUCUUCUACUGCAACUCGGUGAGCUUCAUGCUUUCCAUCUCCCUCAUCCUCCUCCUGGUGAACCCCAAUCUAUACAGGCCAGCCAUACGAAGCAAUGCGCUAUCUGUUUGUACGGCGCUGGGCUUGUUUUGUUUGAUGGUGGCCUACGCCGUUGGAAGCACCCAACACCUCAAGACAUCCAUCUACAUCUUUGUGUUGGUCGGUGUGGUCCUCUUAGUUGCAGCUGGACUGCUGCUAGUAUUUGCGCUGAGGGAGCAAAACAAUAGUGACAAUUCAGCAGCUGCCGCGCCAUCCAUAUCCCAUGAACAGGAGGAAGAAGAAGAAAGGAACAAGGAGGAAGAAAGGAAGAAGCACGCGAGGCGCAAGUACCUGAUGCUGCUAGGAAUCUUGGUGGCAAGCGUUGCCUACCAGGCCGGCCUGGAACCGCCCGGCGGAGCAUGGCAGAGCAGUGGCAAUGGAUAUGAGGCAGGCGAUCCGGUGAUGCAUGAUAUCAGGAGGCCUCGGUACCUUGUCUUCUUCUACAGCAACUCCUUUUCCUUCGUGGCUUCCAUUGUUGUCAUCAUGAUGUUACUGCCGCACUGGCUGCCAAACAGGAAGAAAGAAGAAUGGGAGAAAUGGUCGUUGAGGGUGAUGAACUGGACGAUCCUGCUGGAUUUGGUCGCUCUCCUAGUGGCAUAUGCAGCCGGAUCCAGCAGGGGUUGGAAGACGUCUGUGUAUGUCAGCAUGCUCAUACUUGCCGUUCUGGGCUACUUUGCAAUCCAUAUGACGCUGUCAAUAUGGUCUGAUCGCUGCCGUCGCCAUCGUCUUCGCCGUGAGAGCAGCCAAGAAAGUCGUCGAGUGUGA
rnacentral:rRNA from 1 species